GCCUAUUGCUGCUGCUGCUGCUGCUUCUUCUACCAUGAUCUCCUGCCACCUCCACACACUGUGUACACGCACCCCUGAACAGGAUAAUUGCCCUGUGCAGUUUGAUUACAUGUCUAAACAGGAAGGAACUGGUAACUGAAACUGAUUUAGUCAUAAAUGAGGUCUAAAGAAGAAGGAAAACACAAUUACAUGGUGGCCAUGCCUAUAUCUGGCUCCACUCUCCAGGGAACUUUGGAAUGGAAUGCUCAUGGUACUGGGACUUGCAGGUCAAAAAACACCAGCAGAAUCUGGAAAGCUGAAGGAUGGGUUGCCAGUGAUGCCAUGAUAUCUGGCUCUGCAUCAAUCCCUCCAGAAGGCUGAGAGGGAACUGCCAACCUUGGAAUCUGCUGGCCGGGCUCUCCAUUCUCAGACAUUGAUUUCCAGACCUCGGACCUGCCUGGCUUUGGGAUCACUGAAAUGCCUUAGUUUGUGUUUGUGCUGGUUUUAAGGACUCCUUGAAAAGGCAGAAGUAAAAUAGUGUCUGACUUUUUGUAGGUGAAGCCUUCUUUAUGCUUUUUUUUUAUUUGCUUGGUUUUUUA